GGCCCUAUAGUUCAACGGAUAGAACAAAAGUUUCCUAAACUUUAGAUGUGGGUUCGAUUCCCGCUGGGGCUA
rnacentral:tRNA from 1 species